GAUGAAGAACGUAGCAAAAUGCGAUAAGUAAUGUGAAUUGCAGAAUUCCGUGAAUCAUCGAAUCUUUGAACGCACAUUGCGCCCCCUGGUAUUCCGGGGGGCAUGCCUGUCCGAGCGUCAUUGCAACCUUCAAGCGCGGCUUGUGUGUUGGGUCUCGUCCCCCGUGGACGGGCCCGAAAGGCAGUGGCGGCGUCCCGACAUGGUGCCCGAGCGUAUGGGAAUCCUCUUCCGCUCGAAUCGGCCCAUGCGGCGCUGGUCGUAACCAAAUUUUUUACCGGUUGACCUCGGAUCAGGUAGGGAUACCCGCUGAACUUAAGCAUAUCAAUAAGCGGAGGA
rnacentral:misc_RNA from 1 species